AACAUAGCCUCCAGAAAAUANUAGAGGUAAAACCUGCCCAGUGACCAUAAGGUUCAACGGACGCGUUAAGUGCUAAGGUAGCGAAAUAAAUUGUCCUCUCAUUAGGGACCAGUAUGAAAGGUACUACGAGGCUCAACUGUCUCCUCUUAUAAAAAUAAAAUUAAUCACCAAGUGAAAAAGCUUGGAUAAAAUUGAUGGACGAGAAGACCCUAUAGAGUUUAAGUAAGCCAAACGGUAAAGAAAACAAAAGAAAAAGAUAUUCGUAAAAGCAAGCUUUGAUUGGGGAAUUCUAGGAAAAAGAAAAUUCUUAAAAGUACAAGUUUACAAUAAUAAACAACAAGAACCUCAAAGAGAAAAAAGAAAAACUACCUUAGGGAUAACAGCGUAAUUUUUCUUAAGAGACCUAAUUGAAAGAAAAGUUUGCGACCUCGAUGUUGGACUAAGGCACCCAAAAGAUGCAGCAGUCUUUAAAGGUGAGCCUGUUCGGCUCAAAAAGCCUUACAUGAU
rnacentral:rRNA from 1 species